rnacentral:rRNA from 1 species
UACGGGGGGGGCAAGCGUUGUUCGGAAUUACUGGGCGUAAAGGGCUCGUAGGCGGCCAACUAAGUCGGACGUGAAAUCCCCAGGCUUAACUUGGGAACUGCGUCCGAUACUGGAUGGCUUGAAUCCGGGAGAGGGAUGCGGAAUUCCAGGUGUAGCGGUGAAAUGCGUAGAUAUCUGGAGGAACACCGGUGGCGAAGGCGGCAUCCUGGACCGGUAUUGACACUGAGUGAGCGAAAGCCAGGGGAGCAAACGGG